UAGGGAAUCUUCGGCAAUGGACGGAANNNUGGACCGAGCAACCNCGCGUGAGUGAAGAAGGUUUUCGGAUCGUAAAGCUCUGUUGUAAGAGAAGAACGAGUGUGAGAGUGGAAAGUUCACACUGUGACGGUAUCUUACCAGAAAGGGACGGCUAACUACGUGCCAGCAGCCGCGGUAAUACGUAGGUCCCGAGCGUUGUCCGGAUUUAUUGGGCGUAAAGCGAGCGCAGGCGGUUAGAUAAGUCUGAAGUUAAAGGCUGUGGCUUAACCAUAGUACGCUUUGGAAACUGUUUAACUUGAGUGCAAGAGGGGAGAGUGGAAUUCCAUGUGUAGCGGUGAAAUGCGUAGAUAUAUGGAGGAACACCGGUGGCGAAAGCGGCUCUCUGGCUUGUAACUGACGCUGAGGCUCGAAAGCGUGGGGAGCAAACAGGAUUAGAUACCCUGGUAGUCCACGCCGUAAACGAUGAGUGCUAGGUGUUAGACCCUUUCCGGGGUUUAGUGCCGCAGCUAACGCAUUAAGCACUCCGCCUGGGGAGUACGACCGCAAGUUG
rnacentral:rRNA from 1 species